AUGCAAGUCGAACGCUUUGUGGUUCAACUGAUUUGAAGAGCUUGCUCAGAUAUGACGAUGGACAUUGCAAAGAGUGGCGAACGGGUGAGUAACACGUGGGAAACCUACCUCUUAGCAGGGGAUAACAUUUGGAAACAGAUGCUAAUACCGUAUAACAAUGACAACCGCAUGGUUGUUAUUUAAAAGAUGGUUCUGCUAUCACUAAGAGAUGGUCCCGCGGUGCAUUAGCUAGUUGGUAAGGUAAUGGCUUACCAAGGCGAUGAUGCAUAGCCGAGUUGAGAGACUGAUCGGCCACAAUGGGACUGAGACACGGCCCAUACUCCUACGGGAGGCAGCAGUAGGGAAUCUUCCACAAUGGGCGAAAGCCUGAUGGAGCAACGCCGCGUGUGUGAUGAAGGGUUUCGGCUCGUAAAACACUGUUGUAAGAGAAGAAUGACAUUGAGAGUAACUGUUCAAUGUGUGACGGUAUCUUACCAGAAAGGAACGGCUAAAUACGUGCCAGCAGCCGCGGUAAUACGUAUGUUCCAAGCGUUAUCCGGAUUUAUUGGGCGUAAAGCGAGCGCAGACGGUUAUUUAAGUCUGAAGUGAAAGCCCUCAGCUCAACUGAGGAAUUGCUUUGGAAACUGGAUGACUUGAGUGCAGUAGAGGAAAGUGGAACUCCAUGUGUAGCGGUGAAAUGCGUAGAUAUAUGGAAGAACACCAGUGGCGAAGGCGGCUUUCUGGACUGUAACUGACGUUGAGGCUCGAAAGUGUGGGUAGCAAACAGGAUUAGAUACCCUGGUAGUCCACACCGUAAACGAUGAGUGCUAGGUGUUUGAGGGUUUCCGCCCUUAAGUGCCGCAGCUAACGCAUUAAGCACUCCGCCUGGGAGUACGACCGCAAGGUUGAAACUCAAAGGAAUUGACGGGGACCGCACAAGCGGUGGAGCAUGUGGUUUAAUUUCGAAGCAACGCGAAGAACCUUUACCAGGUCUUGACAUCCCUUUGACACCUCCAGAGAUGGAGCGUUCCCUUUCGGGAACAAGUGACAGGUGGGUGCAUGGUUGUCGUCAGCUCGUGGUCGUGAGAAUGUUGGGUUUAGUCCCGCCAACGAGCGUCAAUCCUUUAUUUACCUAGUUGUCCAGCAUUCAGGUGGGGCACUCUAAUGGAGACCUUGCUGCCGGUGACAAACCGGAGGAAGGUGGGGAUGACGUCAAAUCAUCAUGCCCCUUAUGACCUGGGCUACACACGUGCUACAAUGGCGUAUACAACGAGUUGCCAACCCGCGAGGGUGAGCUAAUCUCUUAAAGUACGUCUCAGUUCGGAUUGUAGGCUGCAACUCGCCUACAUGAAGUCGGAAUCGCUAGUAAUCGCGGAUCAGCACGCCGCGGUGAAUACGUUCCCGGGUCUUGUACACACCGCCCGUCACACCAUGAGAGUUUGUAACACCCAAAGCCGGUGGGGUAACCUUCGGGAG
rnacentral:rRNA from 1 species